GCCCUGUUAGCUCAGUUGGUUAGAGCGUGGUGCUAAUAACGCCAAGGUCAUCCGUUCGAGCCGGGUACGGGGCA
rnacentral:tRNA from 1 species